rnacentral:rRNA from 1 species
AUGGUUUUCCUAGGAAGGGGAAGGAUCCGUGUCGAUGCUGACAGUGUUCAGAGGAUCACUACAUGGCUCAAGAUGAUUGAGCAUAUGGCUGGAAGAACGGAUGACACAUUUUUUAUGGCCUGGCUUGCGGUUGCCUUCAGUACUUUUCUAGCACCAACCACGGCCUUGAAGCUCAGCCCAAAGUGUUAUGGACUUGUGCUAGAUCAUCAAAUGCUAAAGAAUACAAACAUCUGCCUCUUUGUAGCAGAACACAUUAAUGAAGAUUUCCGGAACAUGGACCAGGAGAAGCAAAUUGUUUGCUGCUGCUUGUAUCACUUGAUGAUACUAUACCUUGAUGCGCUCGUACAUGACAUCCCAGUAAGCAACUGCGCGAUACGAUCGAAUGCAUGGGAUAGUACUCUAAUUGCCAAGGUGAUCAAGAAGAAUACUAUCUCUCCUGGUGUGUUCGGCAAAUUACAACUUAAAGAGGAGUAUAGAGGCACGGAGCAGACACCACUGUUUGGUGGAAUUUUGCAAGCUGAAGCAUUUGUGGCAUCCAAGUUACCAAUAACAUACAAUCCGAAGAAAAAGGCAAAAAUUGCGAAAGUGCAGCCAUCAAUGCAAACUGGGGCAUCACGCCGUGCUCCAAAAAGAAAGAGAUGGCGGUCAACUAUACAAGAAGAAGAAGAAUUUGUUGAGGAUGAUUCAGAAGAAGAUGAGGAAAUGGGAGCAGCGAUAGAUGCUGACGACGAUGAGGAGACAGAUGCGGAUGAAUCAGAGGAGGAGGACAAGGAUGAGGAUGACAAUGAAGAAGAUGCAGAGGAGGAGGAGGAGGAGGAGGACAAACAAGAAGAGGACAAAGGAAAGGAGGAGAACAAGGAAGAAGAUAGUGAUGCAGAGAAGGAGGAAGAAGAAGGUGAGGCCAGAGAGGGGGACGGGGACAAAGGGGCAGCAGUUGAUGGCAGUGAGAGGGGAGAAGACAAAGGCGCAGCAGCUGAUGGCAGUGAGAGGGAAGAAGACGAGGAUGAAGAAGACGAGGAUGAUUAUGGUGAUGAUAAAGGGGGAUCCAAUGAAGGCAGCGACAGCAGCGAUAACGAUGAUGAUGACAACGCUCCUGGUUCUGGUGGUACAGGUGGCAACCAUUCCAGGAGGACUAGCACUCACGCCACCCCUGCGAGCAGCAGCAAUUCAUUGAGUAGCAGGAGCACACUACAGUUGUUGAUUGACAAGACUUGCUGGAAAGACAAGGAUUUGCCAAAGUCAAAGAAAAAUGACGAAGCAGAGUCUCAGGGAAGCAUUGAUAUGUUCAAGCUCUGCAACUUGAAGCCAGCUUUGCCAACCACCUUUCCCGUGCCAGAUUUCAGCGACAAAGAUAUGUGUGAGAAGAUCAACUUUGCCAUUGACAAGAGCCUGUUCUUAUCAACUGAUGCUGAAAAGAAUCAAAUUGACAUGGAGGAAGCAGGAAAGGGUCUUGACUGGGUUCAUUCAAAGGAAAAAUACAAGGAAUAUUUAAAGAAGCUCCCAGACCUAAGCUCCAGCAAGAGCAAGGCAGCAUCCACGGCAAACCCUCACGUGGUCCAGAAGUGUAAAGCAGUUUCAAUGAAGAAGAAUCUGCAGUUGCCUCAAACCAAGGAUAAGAUGGUGAGUGAAGAUGCUGAAGUAAAUAUGGUCAAGGAAGCUGUGCUUCAAACUGAUAUGCCAACAGUAGUGAGCAGAGAGCCAACCAAUGUCAGAGAAGUUCAACAAAUCAAGGGGAAGACUCCCCUUUCAACAGUCCCACCAAAACCACCUAAGCAGAAGAUUGUCAAGUUUGCCAGGGGCGCAAAGGGGGAACAGGCCACAAAAGAUUUGGGGUUCAGAGACGAGAGAGAGCUGCGAGCCGCAGCCAUUGAUGCAGGGGUGCCAAGUUCUGCCAGGUUGCUGCCAACUCAGACUGGAAAGAUGCCAACUACAGAUACCAGUGUGCCAACUGAUGUGUCAGUUAGCAGUAUGGUCACAGUCAAAACCACCACAGCUGGUCAGGAAGGCACCACUGCAACUGCAAGUCCCAAGGUGCCUACUGAUAGAGAUGCUUCAAUGCCAAACUCAAAAGGAGGUGAUCCAACUAUCAAAGUGCCGUCCCCAAGAGUUGUCUUUCAGCAACCAUUAACACAAGAGGAGGUGUUCGACAUUAUAAGUAGGUGCAAGCCUCCAAGGCCGCCAACUACAACACUAUUGCGAACCAAGUCAGUGAAUGAUGCACCCAUGUUUGUGCCGCAAGGAAAUGCCCUGGUCCUUGAACCCUUACGAAGAUCAAACUCUUAUCAUGGUGACGGGUUCUGCGAUGCACCAUCUUUUGACCUCGGCAUAGAUGGUGAUGCUCUAGCACCUGCUCCAGCAAUAGAUACAGCGGAAGCCGGUGUGAUUAGCAUCGAUGAGUCAUCUCAAAGGUCUCCAUUCAUCGACUACAACAAGAACAAGACUUUCAGCACCAAUGAGGUAGUGAACAAGCUUUACGCUGCCCUCUUGUAUUGGGUCAGGCAUCACAAAGGAGCAAAUGAUGGAGCUACCAGGUAUGGUGCUUUCUACAUUUCUUUAAAGGAGUUAGUUGAUUCGAUGAAGCCGGUUCAAUGGUUGUCAAAAAUUGUUAUUGAGACUGGAAUCUUACACAUCAUGGAUAACUUACCAGAAGGGUCAAAGAAGGUUGUUAUGCCACUGAGGUUUUCUAUAAAAUUACAGCAAGGGAUCCACAAUGUGGAUGAGAUGAACAAGAAGUUUGAUUACAAGAACCGUCUCGACAAGAAAGACUUGCUACAUCUUGUAUUUGUGUCUGAAAUCGUUCACGCUUGCAGGUCAUGCUGCCAGUGCUCGAGUGCGCAGAUGUAA